rnacentral:rRNA from 1 species
AACGAACGCUGGCGGCAGGCUUAACACAUGCAAGUCGAACGCCCCGCAAGGGGAGUGGCAGACGGGUGAGUAACGCGUGGGAAUCUACCCAUCCCUACGGAACAACUCCGGGAAACUGGAGCUAAUACCGUAUACGCCCUUUGGGGGAAAGAUUUAUCGGGGAUGGAUGAGCCCGCGUUGGAUUAGCUAGUUGGUGGGGUAAAGGCCUACCAAGGCGACGAUCCAUAGCUGGUCUGAGAGGAUGAUCAGCCACAUUGGGACUGAGACACGGCCCAAACUCCUACGGGAGGCAGCAGUGGGGAAUAUUGGACAAUGGGCGCGAGCCUGAUCCAGCGAUGCCGCGUGAGUGAUGAAGGCCUUAGGGGUGUAAAGCUCUUUCACCGAUGAAGAUAAUGACGGUAGUCGGAGAAGAAGCCCCGGCUAACUUCGUGCCAGCCGCCGCGGUAACAC